UGAUAAUAUGUUAUAAAUGCUUCCGCUGCUUUCGUAUAUUAAAUUUGAUUUGUAUAUGCAUGAUAGUCAUUUAGAAAUCCCAUACAUGAAUCUCAUAGAUUUCCCUUCAAGUGGUAUCAGAGCUUUAAAAGGUUUAUGUAUAAUGUGUCCUUUUGGAUUUUAUGAAUAUGGGUAUUAAUGUUAUGUAUGACAUAUUAUUGUUUCAUUCAAAGUAUGUUUAUCUUUUGUUUUUCAAUAGUUGAAAAAUGUUAGUCAAAAGUUGAGAAAGAUAUGUAUGCAAAAGUGUUUUGUAUGCAUGAAUGAAAAAUGAGUUUAGAACUAGUUUGACAUAUUAUUUCUUCAUUUAAAAGUAUGUUUGUCUUUUGUUUUUCAAUGGUUGAAAAAAUGUAAAUCAAGAGUUGAAAAGAUGUGCAUGUAAAAGUUGUUUUGUAUGCAUGAAUGAAGAAUAAGUCAUGAACAAAAUUUGGGGUUUUUUGUUCUUUAUGGUUAGCACGGUUUUGGGGGUGGUUUUGGGUUGUGUUUGUGUUUUAUUGUAAACCACUCACACAUCCUUUUAAAGCUUGAAAAAAUGGGUUCUUGUCACUUUUGUUUUUGGGUUUGAAAAAUCACCAAGAAUAUACAAAUCUUGAAAAUGUGUUCAUGGUUUUGUUCUUGGUGUUCAUAUUUUGGUUUUGGGUGAAAAUGGUUUUAUUUGGUUUUCAUGCUUGGUUUUAUGGUUUUGGAUGAUGUUCUUACCAUCCAUAACUAUAUUAAAACUUAUAAAACCCUAGACUUGACUAGGAGGAUUUCCAUCACCCAUCUCACCUAAGUUUUAAUGGCAAAACCAAGUGACAAGCAAAAUUUAAUUUUUUCUAGAUAAUGUGGCUUUUAAUGCAUGUUGUGUAAGAGUGUGUAAGAAACCUCCCAUCCCCUUAAUGUGGCCGGCCUCUCUAGUGGAUUUAUCCACUUGUGGGGCUAUUUUGUAAUCUUUGAAAAGUUGAUAUUUACUUUGAAAUAUUUAUGGUUUUACCCCUAACUUUUCAUAUUUGCAUUUAGGCCCCUACUAACUAGAAAGUUAAAAUAUUUGAUUUUCAUUUUGUUAGUUGUUUAAACUCAUAAUACUAUUAUGCCCAUAUGCACUAAUCUAAAUGUUUAUGUUGCAUUCCAUUAUGAUUAUUUAAAUGUGUUUAAGUAGUUGUAAAAUGGGUGACUAUGGAUUUAUGCCUUAAAUGAUAAUUGAGCUAUGAGAUAAGGCACUAAAAUCAAAUUGUUUGAACCUUGGGAAUGUGUUUUAAUUACUGUUUAAUUGGACCUUGUCACGUUUGACGUUA
rnacentral:lncRNA from 1 species